rnacentral:rRNA from 1 species
ACGGAGGGUGCGAGCGUUAUUCGGAAUUAUUGGGCGUAAAGAGCGUGUAGGCGGUUGGUCAAGUCAGAUGUGAAAGCCCGGGGCUCAACCUCGGAAGUGCAUUUGAAACUGGUCAACUUGAGUUCGGGAGAGGGAAGUGGAAUUCCGGGUGUAGAGGUGAAAUUCGUAGAUAUCCGGAGGAACACCGGUGGCGAAGGCGACUUCCUGGACCGAAACUGACGCUGAGACGCGAAAGCGUGGGGAGCAAACAG